AGAACUUUCCAGAGAUGGAUUGGUGCCUUCGGGAACUCUGACACAGGUGCUGCAUGGCUGUCGUCAGCUCGUGUCGUGAGAUGGUUGGGUUAAGUCCCGUAACGAGCGCAACCCUUGUCCUUAGUUACCAGCACGUCAUGGUGGGCACUCUAAGGAGACUGCCGGUGACAAACCGGAGGAAGGUGGGGAUGACGUCAAGUCAUCAUGGCCCUUACGGCCUGGGCUACACACGUGCUACAAUGGUCGGUACAGAGGGGUUGCCAAGCCGCGAGGUGGAGCUAAUCUCACAAAACCGAUCGUAGUCCGGAUCGCAGUCUGCAACUCGACUGCGUGAAGUCGGAAUCGCUAGUAAUCGCGAAUCAGAAUGUCGCGGUGAAUACGUUCCCGGGCCUUGUACACACCGCCCGUCACACCAUGGGAGUGGGUUGCUCCAGAAGUAGCUAGUCUAACCUUCGGGGGGACGGUUACCACGGAGUGAUUCAUGACUGGGGUGAAGUCGUAACAAGGUAGGCGUAGUGCU
rnacentral:rRNA from 1 species